rnacentral:rRNA from 1 species
AGAGUUUGAUCCUGGCUCAGAACGAAUGCUGGCGGCGUGGAUUAGGCAUGCAAGUCGAACGUGUUGGGUAGCAAUACUCAAUAAGUGGCGAAAGGGUGAGUAACACGUGAGUAAUCUGCCUUUAGGAUUGGGAUAACCUCGCGAAAGCGAGGCUAAUACCGAGUGUGACCGUGUUGUCUUCGGACGAUACGGUGAAAGGAUGGCCUCUAUUUAUAAGCUAUCGCCUUUAGAUGAGCUCGCGGUAUAUUAGCUAGUUGGUAGGGUAAUGGCCUACCAAGGCUUUGAUGUAUAGCUGGCCUGAGAGGGUGGUCAGCCACACUGGGACUGAGACACUGCCCAGACACCUACGGGUGGCUGCAGUCGAGGAUCUUUCGCAAUGGGGGAAACCCUGACGAAGCGACGCCGCGUGAGCGAUGAAGGCCUUCGGGUCGUAAAGCUCUGUCACGAGGGAAGAAAAAAUUGGAAAUGAAUAAUUUCCAGUUUUGACUGUACCUCGAGAGAA